GUGUGUGUGUGUGUGUGAGAGUGUGUGUGUGUGUGAGAGUGGGUGGCGUCUGGCAGCGCAGGUCUCACUAAACCCGUUUCAUUAUCGCUCUCUUUCUCUCUCGGAGCUCUUGUUUUGUUCUCCUCAUUCAUCAGGGUGAUAUUACAGGGUUUUCAGUCACACACAGAGCUGAUGUGGAUGUUUCUGCUCCUCAUCGAUUCACUUUUAACAGUUAUCAGAAGAGGAGAUUGUGGAGGGACGUGAUAUGUGACAGAUCACAUGUGGAGUAUCAGACCCUACAGAAGAGAUAAAGGUAUUCAAUGAGAGAUGGACAGCAGAGAGAAAGACUCACUGAAGCUUAUUCGCAGAGACAGCAUGCAGCAAAAACCAAACAUGAGUCUGGAUCUAGACAGACAUGUAGAGUUUCAUUCAGGUGAAUCAGAAACAGUCACAGAUGAGGUGAGAUUCACAGAUCGUCUUGAGAGAAGGAGACACAACUGAUGUGUGGAAAUGAAAUAAGAAUGAAAUGUGUUUUUGGAUUUUUUAGCAUCUGAAACAAACUAUCAACCACAUAGCAACACCUAAGUAACCACUCGGAACAGACUAGCAACUCCAUAGCAACACCCUAGAAACAGCCCAGAAUACCUUAGAAACCACCUAGCAACCAACCAGAACACCGUAGCAACCACAUAGCAACACACUAGUGUUAAAACCUUCAAGAGAACGUCCCCCAAAACCUAGCUACCAUUCAGAACACCCUAGUAACCACCUAUAAUACCUGCAGGGCACCAGCCACAACACCCUAGCAACCACAUAGCAUCACCUAAGCAACUUCCCGGAACACUGAAUAGCAACACCCUAGAAACGGCCCGAAAUACCUUAGCAACCUCCUAAAAACCAUCCAGAAUACCCCAGCAAGCACAGAGCAACACCCUAUAAC
rnacentral:lncRNA from 1 species